CCAGACUCCUACGGGAGGCAGCAGUGAGGAAUAUUGGUCAAUGGGCGGGAGCCUGAACCAGCCAAGCCGCGUGAAGGAAGAAGGUACAGCGUAUCGUAAACCUCUUUUGUCAGGGAACAAAGGCGGGGACUAGUCCCCGGAUGAGGGCACCUGAAGAAAAAGCAUCGGCUAACUCCGUGCCAGCAGCCGCGGUAAUACGGAGGAUGCGAGCGUUAUCCGGAUUUAUUGGGUUUAAAGGGUGCGCAGGCGGCUCGGCAGGCCGGCGGUCAAAUCGCGGGGCUCACCCCCGGCCAGCCGUCGGAACUGCCGGGCUAGAGUGGGCGAGAAGUGCGCGGAAUGCGUGGUGUAGCGGUGAAAUGCAUAGAUAUCACGCAGAACUCCGAUUGCGAAGGCAGCUUACCAGACUGCGACUGACGCUGAAGCACGAGAGCGUGGGUAGCGAACAGGAUUAGAUACCCGGGUAA
rnacentral:rRNA from 1 species